GACGAACCGUCCAAACGUUAUUCGGAAUCACUGGGCUUAAAGGGUGCGUAGGCUGUCCGGUAAGUUGGGUGUGAAAGCCCUCGGCUCAACCGAGGAAUUGCGCCCAAAACUGCCGGGCUCGAGGGAGAUAGAGGUGAGCGGAACUAAGGGUGGAGCGGUGAAAUGCAUUGAUAUCCUUAGAAACACCAGUAGCGAAAGCGGCUCACUGGGUCUCUUCUGACGCUGAGGCACGAAAGCUAGGGGAGCGAACGGG
rnacentral:rRNA from 1 species